AGUCAUCCUGAGCAUCACGGCGGCAUACCGUGAGGCCGAGGUAUUCAACGACAUAGGCGGCGUCUCUUAGCCCUUCUGUGCCCUGCUGCUCAUUCGCACAUGGGGGAGGGGGCACCGGUGUCAUUCUGCAUCCGCCAUGCGCAUCGACGGGAUUCGAACGCUUCCGAAAACGCGCGCUACGUUUUUUUUUUUUCGUCGCGUAAAGAAGAAGAGGCGGCGCAGGACAUUUCGCCGUAAAAGUGUCAUGCACCCGCUCCCAUGCGGCAAGAGAAGCGCCUUGACAGCUCCUUGCGUGGUCUCAUCCAACAAAGUUGCAGAGGCGGCGGGCUUUCAACGCUUGCGCCGCGCGCGCGGCAACAGCAGCGUCCGAGUGCAGCAGUCGCGAAGGCGAGAAGCGCUAGAGCACCCAUGUGCUCUUAUUAGAAUCUGAGAGCGUCUUUCCGCCUCCCACCCCCCCCUCAGGUUCGGAGCGCGGCGGCGCGGCCGUGUGGUGUGCCUCGUCUUCGCUCUGCUCUGAUUCACGGCACUGGCGCGUGCCACGGUGGCUUAUCGACAAGAUCAACGGGGCCAGAACCUUUACGUCCCCGGCCUACCGUUUCGCGACAAAACGCGCCGUUAUGCAGCGACGCGAAACGCUCGACGUCGUGCUUUCACCUCUCACAUGCUUGUGGAGGUGCACCAGAGGCUCAAAGAAAUCAUGACUUCUCACAUACACUCGAACGUGCUUCGCCUGCCUCCGUGGAUCAACGGCCUACUCCGGAGGCUGCCCCAUCGUCUUGCUAGCUCUGCAGUGUGUGUGGUGCUACCACCAAGUAUGUUUCAGCGGAGACGGCAAUCAGCUCGCCUUUCACCGAGGUGGCCUCCGCCCCAACAGUCCCACAGUCAGCGGGUGGGAAGGCGCCGAUCGGCUGACGGCAUGCCGAAGUUGUGGCCGAUGUUGGACGGCUACCCGGUCUUCGCAGACAGAAAGUGCGAGACGCGCGUGUUGAUGGCUCUCCUCAUGGCCGACGGCAUCCCGCGUUUUGGGCAGACAGCGACCGCUUCGGCUAAAGUCACGGAACCCUCUCUUUCAGCAGCUUCAGCCUCCGGUGGCUCGUAGAGCUGUGCAGGACCACAACCACGAAACUACCCUCUCCACCUCGUGGCAGGAAUGUGGGUCUGCUGGUCGGCCUUGCGAUUGCCUCUGCCGUGGCCCUUGGCGUCAUCGUUGGCUUGGCUCUCUUUUCGUGCGCGCCAGCAUGCACUGCUGUUACUUUUGCCGCAGCGGCCGAAGUGGAAGACUUCCACUCAGUCACCACAUCGCGCGCAUUGCCGUGGCGGCUCAACAGCCGCUGGCGCCACAUCCUUCGAUACGCUCUCCUAUAUACCCGGUUCUUCCUUUCACGCUGUUGGCAUCGCCAUGAAUGUGACGUGCUCAUUGCACCGCAUUCGCGUGUACUCACAGUCGAUGCUCCUUAGCCUCCAGCAGUGGCGGCAGGUGCUCGCCCUUCAGUCUCCUCUUCGCAACCUCCAACGGUGCGUCAGCAGCGCGGCUAGGUCGGCGGGGUGCGCCGAGGCGCGACCAAGGACUUCCUCUUGGGCAGCGUCGGUGGGCUGCUGGAAAAAUCUCCCUCGCGCCCUCUUCGAGGGUCUCUCUUUGUCUCCUCCUCGUCUGUGUGUCUUGCCUUACGCUAACGCUGCACAUUCUAUCCUUCACAGAUCCCUCUUCUCUCGUUAUCCUUCUGCACCUUUUUCUGCUGCGCUCGUAUCUAUAG
rnacentral:misc_RNA from 1 species